GAGUAUUGCAUGGAUUAUUUUUGUGAUUCCGUCGGUCCGUGGUAAGGUGAAACAAAAUACCAGAUUCUUAUGCAGAGGAAUAUUCUGAUUUAGAGGAUGAAGAGGACUUUGAUGAAAAACUUCCAGACAGAAAUGCAAAGGUUGUAACAGUAAAAGUAAAUUCCCUUUGUACAGACCUCAUCAUCAAAUCAGGACUUUCUGUGGCACGAAACAGACUGGGAAAGUGUGUGGUCAGAUCCUUAAAAAUCUGAGUACAGCCAAAGAAGAGAAUCUGAUUUGGAAGUUGACCCUCAGAUGCUAUGCAAGCAGAUUUUAAUGACAAGAAAUCUGUUGAAGAAGACACCAAGUAUGCAGAAGUGUUGCUUGUGGCUGACAAAAACUUCUUGCAGCCUGGAAUGGCACCGACAAUGAGCAAUAUCGUUUCACAGCUAUGAACGUGGUAAAACAGUUUUUUUUUAUCUGUGUGUGAUAGAACUGAAAUUCUGCUGCUUUCACAGUGCUGAAUGACACUGUGAUUGCAAGACUCAAUAUUUGAUAUGCAUUGCCAUGUAAAACGUAAUUAGCUAAUCCCACAGAGUGGAGUACUUCUUCAGAUGCUGAUAAUCACUCAAAUAGUCACGUAAAUCCCCACCUUCUAGAACCUGAACCACAUCCUCAGACAGUCAAGUCAGAUCCAUACUGUCACACACUGUUUAUUUAUCAUUCAGUUUAAUACUGCUCCUCUUUAAUCUGACUAGUAUUUUUAAAUUACUAUUACAAUAACUGUUAAUCAGUGUUUAUUUAGGGUUUAAUCACUGCGGGGGCAACCACACUGCAAACUACAGAGGUUGCAGUAAGUGGAAGGAAGCGAAGGCGGCCGCUGCAAAGCGUGCGAGAGGGGAACGCGGCCGAAAGGACGGUGUCUCCACGCGCCUGCCAGCGCCCUCAUUGGUGCCAGCUAAGCCUUCUCCGGAACAGGAGAACCUGGGCCCUGGCUGGAACCACGUGGUCCGUGGUGGCCGCGUCGUCAAGGCUGAGGCACGAAGAACCCCGCCCCAACGCCGUCCGGCGCUAUUGCACGGACUGAGCGGCAGGCUGUGCCUAAGGACGGCAAUGCUAAGCCCGCUCGUCCUGUAGUGCCGGUGGGGUAUCCCGCCGCACCCGCUCCCAAGAAGACUGUCCCCGCCCCACCUAAGGGUCAGUCCCCGCUCCAGGGCAUCUCAGAUCUCCUGGAGAACCUCCCGACCCAGGCCUGCGACGAGUAGAUACGCCGUCUACUCGGCGCGGCCCCUUCCUUCCCAUCCGGGGAGGCCCGUCCGCGGGACGUCCUCAAAACCGUUAUCCUCUUCGUAGCCGAGUAUGACUGCACGGCCUAGGAGACACGGUGGUAAGGUUUUGCGGCUGGUUUAUUGGAACGCCGACGGUGUUCGCGGCAGGUAGCUGGGGCUGGAACAGUUCCUCGGUGACCACGGAGUCGAAGUUUGCCUCCUGAACGCGACUCAUCUCACGUCGGGUCGGGCCUUGAGGUUCGCGAACUAUGUUUGCCACCGGACGGACCUCCCGACGCAGGGGGAGACAUUAGUUAAACGUAUGCGAACGUUAUGUAUUAAAAUGUGUAAAUAAAUAUAUCAAUGCGUUAUAUUAA